GAAUCAAGAACCAGGGUGGUUCAGAGAUACUAAAAAUCUCACCAACAGUGGUAAUGGGCCGAUUAAAAGGCAGGAAGCCCCAGGAUUCUUGAGUGAGGCCUCGGCCAUGGAAGGAAUAUGAAGGGAUAAGGUGUGCUCUGUAAAGAAAGGAACAGAAGUAUAAGUUCUCCCAGGAAACUUCCCCCAGUGAAAUCCUCACCAAGGUGUGGCAUCUCAGGAGACCAUAAGUGUCCUAUGAGGGCAAGCCUGCCAGACCCAGCCUGUGUGAAUGUAAUCAUUGUCACUCAAGGUGACAGAAGUGGGAUUUAAAGAAGUAGGAUGAACAGAAGCCAAACAUGGAAGAGCUAAAACUCAUGGAACAAGAAGUUCCUUGACUAAAAGUGAGGGGAUCUGAGGCAAGAAUGAUGAAGAACAACCAUUUGUAUGUAUGUAUGUGUGACCCUUCCUUAAAUAUUAUGGCCUUGAUACCAGGAGAUGCUUACAGCAUUUUGUCCAUGUUCAAGGGAGGACUCUUAGAGUGGAUUAUCAAUGAGGAAGUUUACAUAAAAUAAUCUCCUAAUUUAGUUUGUAUUAAAGGCACUACUAGUCAAGCCAUUCAACUAGAUAUGUACUGUGGUAUCUCAUCAUAAUUGUAACUUCCA